rnacentral:lncRNA from 1 species
AGUGGGUGUAGGUGGAGCUUGGGUAGCUGGUGUUGGAGGCGCUUGGGUAGUGGGUGUAGGUGGUGCUUGGUUAGUGGGUGUUGGAGGAGCCUGGUUAGUGGGUGUUGGUGGAGUCUGUGUAGGUGGUGCUUGAUUAGUAGGGGGUGCCUGUGUUGGUGGUGCCUGUGUAGGUGGUGCUUGGGUAGGGGGUGCCUGUGUUGGUGGUGCCUGCGUAGGUGGUGCUUGGUUAGUAGGGGGUGUCUGUGUUGGUGGUGCCUGUGUAGGUGGUGCUUGGGUAGGGGGUGUUGGAGGUGCUUGACCUCCAACCCCAGCGACGAUAAUGCAGAUCAUAAACCCCAACAAAACAGCAUUAUUCCUACCCAUCAUUUUGACAAUGGAGAGGAGGAAAUUAAAGGAAUGUGAAAGAAGAUAUCUGGUGCUGCUUGGGAAAAGAGAGGUUUGGGAAGGGAAUAUAUAAGAGAUUUUCUAAAAGAAGUAUGGUAUAUAUUUGAAGGUUGGAAAAGAAAGAGUAGAAAGGUGGCAAAUCCAAUUUGUAGUAACAGUGUGAGUUGUGACUACCAAAUACUUAUG